rnacentral:rRNA from 1 species
AGCGUAGGUGGCUCGAUAAGUCAGAUGUGAAAUCCCCGGGCUUAACCUGGGAACUGCAUCUGAUACUGUUAGGCUAGAAUAGGUGAGAGGAAGGUAGAAUUCCAGGUGUAGCGGUGAAAUGCGUAGAGAUCUGGAGGAAUACCGAUGGCGAAGGCAGCCUUCUGGCAUCAUAUUGACACUGAGGUUCGAAAGCGUGGUAGCAACA